GGUCAGCUCGUCCGACCGCGCGAACCUCCAGUCGCAGCCUUCCCAGGUGCACUUGUAGGGCUUCUCGCCUGUGACAAGGAAGAGACAAGUGCUGGAGUCACAGAAAGGAUUUUAACGCUGGUGGUGACUUUAACUGUCCGGCUCAGAGACGUCAAUCAAACAGAAGAAAGAACUUCACACAGAAAUGUCUAGUGAAAACAAAUCACAGUAACAAACACGGCUUUCCUGUCAUUCCUGGGGGAGAGGUCUAAUUCUGAUGUUUAAAUCAAGGGAAAAAAAAACUUCCUCGGGAGUCUCAGUUUAAGAAGGAUCAUUCAAGCCUUUUGAAUUUAAUAAUUACAUACAGAGAACUAAGUUUUCAAGUUUGCUUUAGAAGCAGGGGGACACUGGACUCUUUUUGUUCACUGUUUUUAUUGGCUGCAAAGCAAUAAACUGCACCAAUAUUUUGUAAAGUUGACUUUAGUGAUUGGUUGACAUACAGUAGCCAUUAAAGUUCCUAAAACAUUUGAGGUUUUGCUCUCAAUUUAUGGGCAUCUACAGCCUAUUCAGCCAAGAAUACUACCAGUGUCUGGAAGGGCAGUUACCAGGGCCAAGACUUCCUAUAAAGCAAGGACAACUACCCCCCACUCGGAGUUGUUUCUAUGGGAUUUGUUCAAGUGUCAACACUGUUCAAGUGAAACAUCGCAGAGGAAGCUGGUACCCCAUUUCUGGCCUGGAAGCAGACUUAAGCCUUUCUUCCUCGGCCAGAAACACUACGGUCAGUACUUCUGGGAAAGCAAACUGACUUCCUCCAAGUUAUAUUUCAACAGGAUAGAGCUUUCAAAAGUAAUUGGAUUUUUAAAGAACCCCCGUCCAAUACCACCAAUUUGAAAUACUUAGUUAAGCUCUUUCAACAUCCACUGUAUUUCCAAGUCCUCCUGCUGCUAGCGUCAAACUAUGGAAAGGCAAAGUGAAAACAGUGGCCGGUUGUGUGGCGUGGAAGCCCUCCGCCUUAUCUCACAGUGUGCAUUUUCUUCUCCUCUCCCUUAAAGCUAUAGGGAUGGCUGAAGAACCCCUAAUCUCUGGGAAAUAUGUCCAAGUUAAACACGCAUAUGCCUCAUGCUGAUAAAGCUAUUAGCAGGCUGGCUAACAGCUCCAGCUUCUAGAAACACCUCAGAGCAAGAGACAAGGCUUGACGGCGCCUCCAGAAGUCUGCUCAAGAGCCAGGUAAUUCUUCUCUCCUUCCACUCUCAGACAACUCCAGAAGUUAGCAGCUGACCCAUCGGCUCCACACUAAGAGUCCUGGACGGCCACUUUCUUUAAUGUCCCACUUAAAUCUUCCAUUAGCAAACACUAUUACACUCUUUCCAAGAUGCAAGGGAUGGAUACAUACAUAUUGUUCAAAGCUACUCAGAUUCUACAGUCUCUCGUGAAGAGAACAGGACAGCUAACAGACUCACAAAAGGCCUUAAAACCUAGACUGUAUGAGGUCAGGGCCUCAUCUUUUAGGGGACCCUGGAAGCUGUUCAGUACUAGCACUGGCCAUCUCCAGAAGUAACCUUAACGAGGUUCCUUCCGCUGGGUUCAAUAAUGCUUGUAUCGCCAACUAUUCAAAAAACACUCUCAAUAAAAAACAUUCUCUCUUCUUCUCUGAUGAUAUCAA